GCUUUCCUCAGGCUCUAAGGCCCGCGGUGUGGAGCGCGGCGUAGGCAGCGGGGAGUGGGCGGCGCGGGGUGGGUGGAGUGGGUCGGCGGCGGGGAUCCUGCCGAGCCCGCAGCUGCCCUCUUUUAGCGCCGUGUCUCCUCCCCGGCCCUGGCUCGUCCCACCUCAGCCACAGCCCGGCCCCCUGGCCGGCCGAGGUCUCGCCGCCGGCGCCCUGGGGACCUCGUGGGUGUGGCCGGCGGCGACCUCGGCAGGCGACAGCCCAGCAGACGGGCACCAGGUGGACGUGCCAGUCUCCAGACCCCCGUCCCGGUGCAGGGAAGGUGGGCGUUUGGACCCCUGAGGCAGAAACAGGUCUGUUGAGAUUGUCUAUUUUUUCUUGAGUCAGCCGUCUGAAAAGAACACGAGGUGGACAGGGCAGAGCGGUCAAGGAAAGCCAUAGGAGGAGGGCACUUAUUUGAGCAAAGACCGGCGGGACGUGGGCGUCGAGGGUAAGGAUAUCUGCAGAAGUACUGUCUUGAGCAAGGAGCACGGCAGACAGAGCCUCUGAGACACGAGAGCCUGGAGUGUAAGAAACACAGUAGAGGCCACUAAGUCGAGAACGCAGGAGCUGGAAGGACUGGCAUUAAAAGCAUUAUCUGAAUCUCAAAGAAAAGUCCAAGACCUGAUGGUUUCCUGGUGAAUUCUACCAAACGUGUAAAGAAGAACUAAUACGAGCCCUUCAUAAACAUUUCCAAAAAACUGAAGAGAAGGGAACACUUCUUAACGCAUUCUAUGAGGCCAGCAUUACCCUGGUACCAAAGCCAGACAUACACAUGACAAGAAAAGAAAACUACAGACCAAUAUUCCUUAUGAACACUGAUGCAAAAAACCUCAACAAAGUACUGGCAAACUUCAGCGGCAUAUUGAAAGGAUUAUACACUAUGACCAAGGAGAUUUAUUCCUGGAAUUCAAGGAUGGCUUAGUAUACAAAAAAAAAAAAAUCAGUGUACUACACUAUACUAACAGCAUGAAGGAAAAAACUACAUGAUCAUCUCAAUUGAUGCAGAAAAAGCAUUUGACAAAACAACACCCUUUCAUGAUAAAACCACUCAACAGAUUAGGACUGGAAGGCAACUACCUCAACAUAAUAGAAGCCAUUUAUGCAAAGCCCACAUCUAACACUGCUCAGUGAUGAAAGGCUGAAAACUUUUCCUGUAAAAUCAGGAAUAAGAGGCCGGGUGCGGUGGCUCACGCCUGUAAUCUCAGCACUUCGGGAGGCCAAGGCGAGUGGAUCAGCUGAAGUUGGGAGUUCAAGACCGGCCUAAGCAACGUGGAGAAACCAUGUCUCUACUAAAAAUAGAAAACUAGCCAGGCGUGGUGGUGUACACCUGUAAUCCCAGCUACUCCGGAGGCUGCGACAGGAGAAUCGCUUGAACCCAGGAGGCAGAGGUUGUGGUGAGCCAAGAUCGCACCAUUGCACUCCAGCCUGGGCAACAAGAGCAAUACUCCAUCUGAAAAAAAAUUAAAAUCAGGAAUAAGGCAAAAAUAUCCACUUUUGUCCCUUCUAUUAAGAUCUAGCCAGAGCAAUUAGGCAAGAAAAAUAAAAGACAUCCAAAUGGAAAAGGGAGAAGUAAAAUUAUCUCUGUUUACAGAUUAUAUGAUCCUAUAUGAAGAAAAUCCUAAAGAUUCCACAGAAGAUCUGUUAGAACUAGUGAAUGAAUUCAGCAAAGCAGUAGGAUGCAAAGAACAAUCUGAAAAGGAAAUUAUGAAAACAAUUCUAUGUACAAUAGCAUAAAAAGAAUAAAACAAGAUUAAGGCAGUGAAAGCUACAAAACAUUACUGAAAGAAAUUAAGACACAGAUAAAUGGAGAGACAUUUUGUGUUCAUGGGCUGGAAGACUUAAUAUGGUUAAGAUGUCAGUACUACCCAAAGCAAUCUACAGAUUUAAUGCAGUCCCUAUAAAAUCCCAAUGACAUUUUUUGCAGGAACAGAAAAACAUCUUAAAAUUCAUUUGGAAUCUCAAGGGACCCUGACUAGCCAAAACAGUCUGAAAAAGAACAAAGUUUAAGGACUUUCACUUCCUGAUCUCAAAACUUUCUACACAGCUAUAGUAAGCAAUGUGGCACUGGCAUAAAGACAGACAUAGAAACCAAUGGGAUAGAAUAGCGAGCCCAGAAACAAACCCUUGCAUACAUGGCCAGAUGAUUUUUUAAUAAGGGUGCCAAGACCAUUCAGUGGGGAAAGGACAGUCUUUUUCAGCAAAUGAUGCUGGGAAUACUAGAUAUCCACACACAGAAAAAUAAAGUUUGGCCCUUACCUUACCACAGAUAGAUUCAAAAUGGAUCCAAGACCUAAAUGUAAGAUCCAAAACUAUAAAAUUCUAAGAAGAAAAUAAAGGGCAAAGCCAGGCACAGUGGCUCGUGCCUGUAAUGCCAGCACUUUGGGAGGCUGAGAAAGGAGGACUCAUCCCCCGAGGCCGGGUGUGGUGGCUCACGCCUAUAAUCCCAGCACUUUGGGAGGCCGAGGCAGGUGGAUCACGAGGUCAAGAGAUCAAGACCAUCCUGGCCAAAGUGGUGAAACCCCAUCUCUACUAAAAAUACAAAAAUUGGCUGGGUGUGGUGGCAUGUGCUGGUAGUCCCAGCUACUCAGGAGGCUGAGGCAGGAGAAUCGCUUAAACCCAGGAGGUAGAUAGAGGUUGCAGUGAGCUGAGAUUGCACCACCGCACUGCAGCCUGGCAACAGCGAGACUCUGUCUCAAAAAAUAGGAGGACCUCUUGAGCCCAGGAGUUUGAAACCAACCUGGGCAACAGA
rnacentral:lncRNA from 1 species